rnacentral:lncRNA from 1 species
AACAAUUUAGAAUAAUUAUAGAUUUGAGAUCAAGUUAUCUGUUCGAGAAAAAUAAACUGUAGAACCAAAACCACGCAGGCAUGAACUAAGAAACUUCCUGUAAACCAAAUUUUUUUUCUUUCGACCUUACUGAUUUAAACCUAAUAAAUUUACUGCACGUAAUUAAAUAGAUAGAUUGUCAGCCUUUUUUCCUAAAGGACAAAUUAAGUAAACAGCAAACAACUGGAGGUGAAAAAAAAAAGACGACAG